GUUUAAAUUAUCAAAAAAUACUUUUUCAUCGACAUAGGAACAUAAAAAAUAUUGAAGAUAAUACAAUACAUCGUUGUUUAAUAAGAUAACAUUACAAAAAAGUGUCAAAAAAUAGUUCUUCGGCGUCAUACAAUCGUAUUUAAGCGCCAAAGAAUCGUACUUGAGCUGAUUCGUCAUCCAAUAGUCCAUAAGCGUCAAACUAGAUUGACACCGCUGUUUCAAUAUACCUAAUUGCUAUUAAUCUUUUUUUUAUAGGUCUGUGUAAAGUUUUGAAGUCUAUCAUAAAAUUGUAGAUUACUGACUGUUUACCGGAAGUCAAAUUCGAGGGCUGGAUAUGGAUUUUGAGGGCUGAUAUCGAUAGGGCCCCGGAGGCAAACAACCAACCGUGACUUUCAGCUAUAAUUGGCUAUGCAAAAAACGUACAUAUAAGUACAAAUGUGUGAUAAAUGUGGGUUAUUAAG
rnacentral:lncRNA from 1 species